UACGAAGGGGGCUAGCGUUGUUCGGAUUUACUGGGCGUAAAGCGCACGUAGGCGGAUUGUUAAGUCGGGGGUGAAAUCCUGGAGCUCAACUUCAGAAUUGCCUUCGAUACUGGCUUUCUAGAGGCUGGAAGAGGUUAGUGGAAUUCUCAGUGUAGAGGUGAAAUUCGUAGAUAUUGGGAAGAACACCAGUGGCGAAGGCGGCUAACUGGUCCAGAUCUGACGCUGAGGUGCGAAAGCGUGGGGAGCAAACAGG
rnacentral:rRNA from 1 species